UCUAUGCAAUAAGGAUGCAAUGAUGUGUCUCUUGUAAGGUCAUCAUAAGUUGUUGUAUAAAUUCCUUUAUUGUCAGGUUGUUAGUGUUAAUGGGAUAAUAGAGAGUUGCUGGUGUAAUCAAAUGUUGACCGAUAUUAAGAAAAAAUAGUGAAUCAUUGAUACUUACUUGAAUACUAUAAUUAUAAACAAAGUCCAAGGCCAUCAAGUAUU
rnacentral:lncRNA from 1 species